rnacentral:snoRNA from 1 species
ACAGCCCUUAGAAGUAUUGCAGGUGCGGCUGCCAUGUCACAUGCUUGUGAGAGGAAAGAGGCUAUGUCUGUUCUCAGGGUUCUGACCUGUAGACAUCUGAAUGAUUAGUAGCCUAACAGU